rnacentral:rRNA from 1 species
UACGAAGGGUGCAAACGUUGCUCGGAAUUAUUGGGCGUAAAGCGCACGUAGGCGGCUUUGCAAGUCGGAUGUGAAAUCCCUCGGCUCAACCAAGGAAGUGCAUCCGAAACUGCGGAGCUUGAGUACUUAAGAGGAUCGCGGAAUUCCCGGUGUAGAGGUGAAAUUCGUAGAUAUCGGGAGGAACACCAGUGGCGAAGGCGGCGAUCUGGGAAGAUACUGACGCUGAGGUGCGAAAGCGUGGGGAGCAAACAGG